rnacentral:sRNA from 1 species
GUUGCCGGUGUAGAAGACGCAGCCGCUGUUGACAUAACAGAAGCGGCCGAUCGUGAGAUCGCCAG